UGUUAUUUCCGGCCCGUUUAGGAUGUCACUUCUGUGUAAUCCUAAUUGUGUUGAAACGAACAGAAAAAAAUACAUCUCUCUCCCAUCUUCGACUACGCCACAUUGACAUUACAGUUUUUCUAUCACCGAAACGGCUUAUUAAAGACGGUGAUUACUCUCAUCUAAUCACUGAUUCACCACGACGUCUUCAAUGCGCUUCUUCGAUCUGAACUGCGACUAUAUAAAAGUCUGCUUUGCUACUCAGAAAAAUAUCCGUCAAAAUAAAUCCGUAAAUUUAUUUUUUUAAUCAAUAGCUAAGGCAACAAUCUUACUUUUUGAUUUAAAGAACAGACGCUGGGAAGUUAAGCUUUAAUUUUUUUCUGGCUGUAUUUUUUAGUGUCUCCGUCGUGUUGAAUUUUUGUUGCCAAAUUCCUGGUUUUAUAAUUGUUUGCUAUACAAUAUGAUUAAUUUUUAUCUUCUUUGUCGUGUUCAAUCGUUAGUACAGGUUUUCAGUUUUUGAUUUUUGUUUACAGAAAAUUAUACGCCAUUGAACAACAAAGACUGUGUCACCCAAAUAUAAAACGGGAACUGAGAAACAUUUGCCAGUGUAAAAUUUGGAUUCUUCUGCUGAGAAUAUAAUGGAUAUGAAUGCUUUCGGCCGCUGCACACUACUUCUUCUUAGGUCUCUUCGACAGUUUCUCAUGUAGCUGCAUCGGCGGAUUUGCAUAUGCACUAUCCAGUGUCAUCUGGAGAGAAGAAAAUCCAAGAGAGCCAAGUUGAAGCAAAUCCACAUCUACAGUGUAUAGCUGUUGCCAAUUCUGCAGUAAUCCUCCUAAGUCCAAUAAUACAAAAAUUUAGAGACAAAAAAAAGGUGGUGCUUCUCUUUCUCUCUGUGUAUACACUUGAAUAUGCAAUAGGAGGAACGAAAAAUGCUUUUGUGUUGUUAUUCUAUGUUAUUAGAAAAUACAGAACUCUGAGCAAGUAGAGGAACAAGACCCACUUAUUAGUUGUUCUUCUUCUUUGAUGUAGUUCAACACAGUUUUGUAUGUUUGAAAUGGCUUUUAUGGCCAGUAUCUAAACACAACUUGCAA